rnacentral:rRNA from 1 species
UACGUAGGGGGCUAGCGUUGUCCGGAUUUAUUGGGCGUAAAGAGCGUGUAGGCGGCCAGGUAGGUCUGGUGUGAAAACUCGAGGCUUAACCUCGAGAUGUCAUCGGAAACCAUUUGGCUAGAGUCCGGAAGAGGAGAGUGGAAUUCCUGGUGUAGCGGUGAAAUGCGCAGAUAUCAGGAAGAACACCAAUGGCGAAAGCAGCUCUCUGGGACGGUACUGACGCUGAGACGCGAAAGCGUGGGGAGCGCACAGG